CGUCAUCCUGGAUCCCACCGGACCCGAGGCGUGCGGGCGCGGCGGCGACCUGCAAGGGAAGGGCGACGCUCGAAUCGAUCCAGCGCCAUGGAUCGUUCCCUGCGGGAGAAAGAGAAAAUGAGGGAGAGAGAAGGAAGGAGAGGAAGGAGAAAGAGAGAGGAAAGAGGAGAGGGAGGUGCAGCGUUGACCGACGGCUCGCGGUGUGGUGCGGCAGACGGCGGCCUCAGCGGGUGUGCGACGACAGGAGGUUCCCAAGCCAGCUCGGGCCGCUGCUACCUCUUCCUCGCCGCCCAACAGGUCGCCGUGCUGGGGGAGCAGGGUAGCAUCGGGUCCACAGGCUGGGGUGGAGGCCUUCCCAACUCAGACUGCGCGUCCUCCUCUUUGCCGCGUCAUCGCCCUGGUCAGCUGAGCACCAACCCGACGGCUCCGGCAUCCGAUGCCAACACAACGAGGUUAUACUCCAAUCAAACAUGUGAAUAUUUACCAGAGUGCUUCAAGAUCGAUUUGAUGAUCCACUACCGCUCUGCUGUUGGGACUAAUUUGGAUGGGAAUGGUGAUUUGAUGGUUGAUUAUGAUUACUUGGUUCUUGCUCUUGGAGUUACUGUGAAUACAUUCAACACUCCUGGUGUGAUGGAGCAUUGCCACUUUCUGAAGGUAGUGGAGGAUGCCCAAAAGAUUCGGAAGAGCGUGAUAGACUGCUUUGAAAAGGCGUCACUUCCUAACCUCAGUGAAGAGGAGAAAAGGAAGAUCCUUCACUUUGUGAUUAUCGGUGGUGGACCUACUGGGGUUGAAUUUGCCGUGGAGUUGCAUGAUUUUCUUGUCAAAGAUCUGGUGAAGCUAUAUCCUGCAAUUGAAGAAAACUCUCAACUCCUACUUGCGCUCCGCCUCUUCCUCCUUUUCAUUGCUCAAUAGGAGGCAGCUCAUCUGGCCGUGCAGCAGACCACGUCCUGAGCGGGUCGGUGACGGCGGUUGCAGCUGGUGCACGAUGGCGAUUCCAACGACAACAGGAAUCUGCAACUUGUUAGACUUCUUUGCAACCCCAACAAGGCCCUCAUCUGCUUUGUCUACAUAUAUGCAUGAUUUCUAUGAUUGGAAUCAGAUAGCACUAACUAUGUGUCAGACUGCUAAUAUUUAUUUGCUUGAUGAUCCUUGAAGCGCACUCUACGCUCAUACAUGAUCCCACAUAUUCUAGAUGCUUUCUUGAGGCUUUGGCUAAAAAUCUGUGGUGUACGUCACUCAUCAGGUAACUAUGACGGGCUAAUGCCUUAAGCUGGGACAUACAACAAAAUACUUAUUUUAUGGGAGGAGUUUAUGGAACUGGGUAGUGCUCAUCAGGAUGCUCUUGCAACAAUUGACACAAUCGAUGUGGCUAAUGGAGCCAGUGAGUAACCUUGCCACCCUUCAGUAUGGUUCCUAUCUUUAGAUAGUCACAUCCACGUUCGUACUUUUAGAAUAGUUGUUGCAACGGGGAAGAGCAUUUCUGCAGUAGCAAGAUAUCAGGACCCAAUGGGCAUAGCCCGAACCAACCACCAUCACUAUUGCUUCAGGAUUAGAUAGCCAACUUCCACUCAUGAGCCUGUCGAGUCAAGUUUCAGACUGAUCAUGUAUCCCCUUGAUAUUCACUGGAUGGAAUCCCCUGUUUUACUCAAACUGAACCUUCUACAAACAUCGGAAAAGCAACAGUAGUAAAGAUGGACAGAAAUUCCAAAAAUAAGAGGUUGGAUGGAGCAUCGAGGAUUUCAGGCUUGGGGUGGCCACGUGUUGCAGGAUAGCAGGAAGAGUUGGAUGUGUUCUGCAGAGACCAGGUGAUCACUGUCGUUGCCGCCAGGUACCUGAAGUACAACACUUCUAAAUUUGGUCAUUUAUUUAUCCUCAUAGCUGGUUCAGAAGCAGAAGUGGCAGUAUAGUGUGCAUGCCGUAUUGACCUGUUCAUGCCAAUGGCAGAAGUAUCUGAUUCAUCCGACCUAAUUCAAGUUAACUUGAGUGCAGCAGAAGCUGGUUCUGAAUAAAAAGUUUUACUUCUGAAGCAGAAGCAGAAGCUGGUGAACUUGGAUGUGUUCAGAAGCAGAAGCUGGUUCUAUGUCAUGAAUAAAAUUUUUUACUUCUGAACUUGGAUGUGUUCAAAUAUAAAAAGUUUUACUUCUGAAUAAAAAGUUUUAACUUGGAUGUGUUCAGAAGCAGAAGCUGGUUCUGAAUAAAAAGUUUUACUUCUGAAGCAGAAGUGGCAGUAUAGUGUGCAUGCCGUAUUGACCUGUUCAUGCCAAUGGCAGAAGUAUCUGAUUCAUCCGACCUAAUUCAAGUUAACUUGAGUGCAGCAGUAGAUAAACAUUCACAAAUUCUACUCCAAAUGGACAGUAAUAGUAGUACGUGGGCAGUGUAAAAUGUGUUUUUGUUAGUUCAGUGAAAAUUAGAGAUCAACCUGAUGGUACUUCAUUUUUAUUCUAAUCUGCCAAAUGCUAUUAAGGAAAUGAAGUUUCUUCCUCGAUCAAGUUAUCAGUCCUUGGUUCACUCUUGCCCUUUGCGCUGGAUGAGACGGGGAGGAGGAGGAGGAGAGUGUGGGGGCAUCUGGAGAGGAGCAAGGGGUGAGAAGUAGCAAGAGGUUCCUUAAUAGCAUUUGGCAGAUUAGAAUAAAAUUGAAGUACCAUCAGGUUGAUCUCUAAUUUUCACUGAACUAACAAAAACACAUUUGCUCCACAUUUCCCUUUGCGCUGUCAGUGAAAAUGUUAUACGUCUUAGCUACCUCUGCUCGCUUUCGAUGAUCAGUUCACUACUUUACUGCUCUUUCCUUAAUUUCGAGAGGACACAGGAGAGGGAGCUACAACGGCAGGAGAAGAAUGCAACGAGGUCCGGUCUUCUGUUCGAUGCCAAGGGCCUGUCCGGCAGUGAUUUCCUCGGGAUGAUCUAGAUGAUAUAACAAAAGGAUUAUAUAUGCGUUUGUGUGCUUCAGAAAAGGUUACUGCUACAUUCAACUUUUCACCAGAAAUGAUUCGUAUAUCCUGAAGAUGUUGCUAGCGUCUUGAAGGAUUACUUAUAUUUGCUCCCUAAUUUCCUGGAUUAUACGAAGUGAGUUGGAUCAUCCAGGGUUGGCGAAACUGAUAUUCAAAUUUGUUUUGUUCUUUAGACCAGACAUUAGCCCUUUCUCUCUAUUUAACAUAUUUCAAGUUCUCAUGUUACAUUAUACUCCCUCCGGCCCAUAAUGUAAGACGUUUUUUGACACUAAUGUAGUGUAAAAAAAGUCUUACAUUAUGGGACGGAGGGAGUAGUAAAUAUUCAAUUCACUUCUAUUUUGUAGACAUGUCAUUAGCCUUUUCUCUCUAUUUAACACAUUUCAAGUUCUCAUGUUACAUCAAAAGUACGCUGGUUAGGAUGUUUGCAACAUGCCGUGUGUUGUAAUCUUUGUCCACUGUACAUGCACAGAUUAAAUACUUUCAUUAGUACUUUUACAUA